rnacentral:rRNA from 7 species
UGUUUGAUGUUCUAACGUGGACCCGUGAUCCGGGUUGCGGACAGUGUCUGGUGGGUAGUUUGACUGGGGCGGUCUCCUCCUAAAGAGUAACGGAGGAGCACGAAGGUUGGCUAAUCCUGGUCGGACAUCAGGAGGUUAGUGCAAUGGCAUAAGCCAGCUUGACUGCGAGCGUGACGGCGCGAGCAGGUGCGAAAGCAGGUCAUAGUGAUCCGGUGGUUCUGAAUGGAAGGGCCAUCGCUCAACGGAUAAAAGGUACUCCGGGGAUAACAGGCUGAUACCGCCCAAGAGUUCAUAUCGACGGCGGUGUUUGGCACCUCGAUGUCGGCUCAUCACAUCCUGGGGCUGAAGUAGGUCCCAAGGGUAUGGCUGUUCGCCAUUUAAAGUGGUACGCGAGCUGGGUUUAGAACGUCGUGAGACAGUUCGGUCCCUAUCUGCCGUGGGCGCUGGAGAACUGAGGGGGGCUGCUCCUAGUACGAGAGGACCGGAGUGGACGCAUCACUGGUGUUCGGGUUGUCAUGCCAAUGGCACUGCCCGGUAGCUAAAUGCGGAAGAGAUAAGUGCUGAAAGCAUCUAAGCACGAAACUUGCCCCGAGAUGAGUUCUCCCUGAGACUUUAGGUCUCCUGAAGGAACGUUGAAGACGACGACGUUGAUAGGCCGGGUGUGUAAGCGCAGCGAUGCGUUGAGCUAACCGGUACUAAUGAACCGUGAGGCUUAACCUUACA